UACGUAGGGGGCAAGCGUUGUCCGGAUUUAUUGGGCGUAAAGAGCUCGUAGGCGGCUUGUUGCGUCGGCUGUGAAAUCCCGUGGCUUAACUGCGGGCUUGCAGCUGAUACGGGCGGGCUGGAGUUCGGUAGGGGAGACUGGAAUUCCUGGUGUAGCGGUGAAAUGCGCAGACUAUCAGGAGGAACACCGGUGGCGAAGGCGGGUCUCUGGGCCGUAACUGACGCUGAGGAGCGAAAGCGUGGGGAGCGAACAGG
rnacentral:rRNA from 1 species